AACCUUCUCGGUUGUGCGUGAUUCACAUAAAGUUAAAAACCUAAGAUUCACUCGGGAUUCUUACAUCGCAUAUUGGACGCCACGCCUUUUUUCAAAAACGAUCAAAGGAUCGCUGAACAUAUGCUGCAGAAACCCACCUAACUUUACUGGUUUUUUUAACCUACUGAAUGACGGCAAACUGGGAUAUCC
rnacentral:other from 1 species